rnacentral:tRNA from 1 species
UCCUCCGUAGUUCAGUGGUAGAACAGUUGACUGUUAAUCAACCUGUCGUUGGUUCGAAUCCAGCCGGAGGAGCCA